GCAACUCGACUGCAUGAAGCUGGAAUCGCUAGUAAUCGCGGAUCAGAAUGCCGCGGUGAAUACGUUCCCGGGUCUUGUACACACCGCCCGUCACACCAUGGGAGUCGGAUAUGCCCGAAGUCAGUGACCCAACCGCAAGGAGGGAGCUGCCGAAGGUGGAGCCGAUGACUGGGGUGAAGUCGUAACAAGGUAUC
rnacentral:rRNA from 1 species